CACACUAUCAUUAACUGAAUCCAUAGGUUAAUGAGGCGAACCGGGGGAACUGAAACAUCUAAGUACCCCGAGGAAAAGAAAUCAACCGAGAUUCCCCCAGUAGCGGCGAGCGAACGGGGAGGAGCCCAGAGCCUGAAUCAGUGUGUGUGUUAGUGGAAGCGUCUGGAAAGGCGCGCGAUACAGGGUGACAGCCCCGUACACAAAAAUGCACAUGCUGUGAGCUCGAUGAGUAGGGCGGGACACGUGGUAUCCUGUCUGAAUAUGGGGGGACCAUCCUCCAAGGCUAAAUACUCCUGACUGACCGAUAGUGAACCAGUACCGUGAGGGAAAGGCGAAAAGAACCCCGGCGAGGGGAGUGAAAAAGAACCUGAAACCGUGUACGUACAAGCAGUGGGAGCCUCUUUUAUGGGGUGACUGCGUACCUUUUGUAUAAUGGGUCAGCGACUUAUAUUCUGUAGCAAGGUUAACCGAAUAGGGGAGCCGAAGGGAAACCGAGUCUUAACUGGGCGUUAAGUUGCAGGGUAUAGACCCGAAACCCGGUGAUCUAGCCAUGGGCAGGUUGAAGGUUGGGUAACACUAACUGGAGGACCGAACCGACUAAUGUUGAAAAAUUAGCGGAUGACUUGUGGCUGGGGGUGAAAGGCCAAUCAAACCGGGAGAUAGCUGGUUCUCCCCGAAAGCUAUUUAGGUAGCGCCUCGUGAAUUCAUCUCCGGGGGUAGAGCACUGUUUCGGCAAGGGGGUCAUCCCGACUUACCAACCCGAUGCAAACUGCGAAUACCGGAGAAUGUUAUCACGGGAGACACACGGCGGGUGCUAACGUCCGUCGUGAAGAGGGAAACAACCCAGACCGCCAGCUAAGGUCCCAAAGUCAUGGUUAAGUGGGAAACGAUGUGGGAAGGCCCAGACAGCCAGGAUGUUGGCUUAGAAGCAGCCAUCAUUUAAAGAAAGCGUAAUAGCUCACUGGUCGAGUCGGCCUGCGCGGAAGAUGUAACGGGGCUAAACCAUGCACCGAAGCUGCGGCAGCGACGCUUAUGCGUUGUUGGGUAGGGGAGCGUUCUGUAAGCCUG
rnacentral:rRNA from 1 species